UACAGAGGGGGCAAGCGUUAUUCGGAAUUAUUGGGCGUAAAGCGCACGUAGGCGGAUUUGUAAGUCAGGGGUGAAAUCCCGGGGCUCAACCUCGGAACUGCCUUUGAUACUGCAAGUCUCGAGUCCGAUAGAGGUGAGUGGAAUUCCUAGUGUAGAGGUGAAAUUCGUAGAUAUUAGGAAGAACACCAGUGGCGAAGGCGGCUCACUGGAUCGGUACUGACGCUGAGGUGCGAAAGCGUGGGGAGCAAACAGG
rnacentral:rRNA from 1 species